rnacentral:rRNA from 1 species
UUGGCGGACGGGUGAGUAACGCGUGGGUAACCUGCCCUGUACAGGGGGAUAACAGCUGGAAACGGCUGUUAAUACCGCAUAAGCGCACAGGAGCGCAUGCUCCGGUGUGAAAAACUCUGGUGGUACAGGAUGGACCCGCGUCUGAUUAGCUGGUUGGCGGGGUAACGGCCCACCAAGGCAACGAUCAGUAGCCGGCCUGAGAGGGUGAACGGCCACAUUGGGACUGAGACACGGCCCAAACUCCUACGGAAGGCAGCAG